rnacentral:piRNA from 1 species
UGAAUAUUGAUGCCACCAAGUUUUGAG